GGGUGAGUAACACGUGGAUAACCUACCUAUAAGACUGGGAUAACUUCGGGAAACCGGAGCUAAUACCGGAUAAUAUAUUGAACCGCAUGGUUCAAUAGUGAAAGACGGUUCUGCUGUCACUUAUAGAUGGAUCCGCGCCGCAUUAGCUAGUUGGUAAGGUAACGGCUUACCAAGGCAACGAUGCGUAGCCGACCUGAGAGGGUGAUCGGCCACACUGGAACUGAGACACGGUCCAG
rnacentral:rRNA from 1 species